GCGCAUGCGCGUUUUUUUUUCCACUUCCCCCAGCAGCUUUUCUGCACUAUCAUUCUUCCUCUCCGCAAGAGCCACCCUUGACACCGCUAAGAAGAAGAAAGGGGGCCGAUCGAAGAGUGCGACUUCUUCAUUUACUGGCUCCACUUCGCCAUGUAGUACGCCGCCUGCUUGCCUUUGGUUGGAAAUACAGGGUGUGCGAAACACAUGUGUUCCUCAUCCACACCUCACUUGCUGAUAGUCAAGCUCUGCUUCGGGCCUGAGUCAGCCCACAUGUUGACCGCUGGUUCGAGCAGAACCCUCCACGGUGUAUACCAGGCCCUGCGUGCAUUACGCAAGUUGGACAUUUUCUUCAGUGAUGUGACGCUCCACCCCAUUGUGGAUACGGAGAUCGGCACGACCGCCUCUUCGCAGCAGUCCCGGUGCGGACUUCGGGUCGUAAUGACAACGUUAUCAUCGUGAGACAGCGCGCUCGUUGCCCAAGGUUUGCACGUGCAGUCAUCGAGGGCCAUCAGCAACGAGAGGUUCUCCUUUCUCCUCUACCGGAGGAGACUACGAUGAAAGUGUCUUGAGCGGUGCGGCACUCUCUGGCUGGCGCGCUUGUAUCUCACCGCCAAACCAACGCUGCUGUGGGCACCCGUGUGACAGGACGGCACACCAUGAAUGCGCAGAGCAGAACCGGUUGUGCGUCUACUGUGCAGUCGUCCUUUUCUUUAAGAGCCAUUAGCUGUACCAUGCCGCACAGCACCUUACACCCUCAUGCUGUUCUUGGCGUGCGCGCACGGAAAAAGCCCAAAAGCAGCUACGGCAACAGCGCCGGCUGAUGCAGCUCUUUGCGCUGAAGCUGCUACGACCAACUACAUUGCUGCGUUCCAUUAUGUCAAACGAGGCGCAGCGCUUUCCCUCAUGUCUUCUCGCGGAGAUGCACCGCGAAACGAUGUUCGAGUUUCACCAUCGCGCCAGGCCCCCGACGGACGCUCUGCAGAAGCAGCUGCGGGGCAGCGAGGCAGGCUUGUGGGCGGGGUGCGCAGCGCUCGUCGUGUUGACGGAUUGUAUGGGCGAGAGGGACUCAAUGCGGGCCAACUUGAUGACUGGCCGGUGCGCGACACUCCAGCGCCGCAGGAGACUAGUCGACUCAUUUGCGUCAUCUGCGGGUCACAGGAGGGCGAGUUUCUGGAGACAGCUCUUACUACCGCGGCUUCAGCGGCAUAUAGGGGCUCUGGCGUGGCGCUCAUUCAGGAAGUAAACACUAUGCACAGCAAAUGACGUUCGACUCCGCCGUCAUGGGCUUCGCUCCGUUCGGCGCGCCUACACACGUUGACGCUAAGCAGGCCAUCGUCUCGGGUUAUAGAGCUAGAAAGUGCGAGCACGGCGUGAGGAGAGGGCUCUUCGCGUAUCCAUACAAGGGGCAUCUUUCAUCCAUACUGAGCUGGAUGUCGGCCAGUCUCGCCACAGCGUGCGCAAGCACUGUGCUGGAGCUCUACAGCAGGUGUGAGGCGACACUCGCUGCGGAUGCGUGACUUCUGACUUACGACGAAGUGCGCGUGUGGCCACGCGCCGUCAACAUCAGACGCGAGUGGCUGCUAGCCACAGCAGCUUCUCUCCCCCAUCAUCGCCGUGUGACUCUUCGUCUGCACCAUGGUCCGUCUAGCUGCGAAGGAGGUUGGGCGCUCUCUGACCGCAGGUCCGCCGUGAAGAAGCUGCGCCCGCUCCUUGCUCUUUUGAUGACUGCGUCGGCGCAGGAGCGCUGCUGCUGCAGUCGGUCACGAUAC
rnacentral:misc_RNA from 1 species